GAAUCUGCCUUUAGAUGGGGGAUAACGAGCCGAAAGGUUCGCUAAUACCGCAUAGGUCGCAAGAUUAAAGGAGUAAUCCGUCUAGAGAUGAGCCCGCGUCCGAUUAGCUAGUUGGUAGGGUAAAGGCCUACCAAGGCGACGAUCGGUAGCUGGUCUGAGAGGAUGAUCAGCCACAAUGGGACUGAGACACGGCCCAUACUCCUACGGGAGGCAGCAGUGGGGAAUUUUACGCAAUGGGCGAAAGCCUGACGUAGCGACMCCGCGUGAGCGAAGAASCCCUUUGGGGUGUAAAGCUCUGUCGGCUGGAACGAAAAAAAUGACGGUACCAGCAAAGGAAGCAUCGGCUAACUACGUGCCAGCASCCGCGGUAAGACGUAGGAUGCGAGCGUUGUCCGGAUUUAUUGGGCGUAAAGAGUUCGUAGGUGGCUUGUCAAGUUUGAUGUUAAAGAUCGGGGCUCAACCCUGGGACUGCAUUGAAUACUGGCAGGCUUGAGUGUGGUAGAGGCUAGUGGAAUUCCCAGUGUAGCGGUGAAAUGCGUAGAUAUUGGGAAGAACACCGGUGGCGUAGGCGACUAGCUGGGCCAUAACUGACACUGAGGAACGAAAGCCAGGGUAGCGAAUGGGAUUAGAUACCCCAGUAGUCCUGGCCGUAAACGAUGGAUACUAGGCGUAUCGGGUAUCGACCCCUGAUGUGCCGCAGCUAACGCGAUAAGUAUCCCGCCUGAGUAGUACGGCCGCAAGGUUGAAACUCAAAGGAAUUGACGGGGGCCCGCACAAGCGGUGGAACAUGUGGUUUAAUUCGAAGCAACGCGAAGAAYCUUACCAGGGCUUGACAUGGU
rnacentral:rRNA from 1 species